GUCAGCGUCCUAGACAUUCUAGUCGCCGCCGGUGUUUACUUUUAGUCUUCCCUAUACUUCGCGCCUAAUAGGAAUCACGACUAAUUCAGUACAGUAUUUUAUGUCUCUGUACCCCCACGACUGGCUGCUAAGUAAGUUCUUGGGAAGCGUUUGUGCAUUAAAAGUGAAAGACUCCCUCACUCUGAAAGAGGACUUUCACUUGAAUUUUCUGUCACUAAUGAGGGGCUAGGGAUUAAAUCGACGGAGAACGAGCGCCCUCUGGUGGGUUUGCAGCAGCUGAGACUGUCUAUACUAGGGACCCACUGUAACUUUGAAAAAGUCCUUUCAAACAGUAAUUUUGCGUUGCUGGUGAUUAAACCCGGAACUUUUAUAGUUAAGCCAGAACUGUGUCACCGAGCCGUAUCUCCAGCCGUAUAGUAAUGUUUUAGAAGGGAGUUUGUUCGCAUAAGACAAUUUGAAAGCCUAGCUAGCUAUUCGUGUUUCCAUAUGCUCCUCAUCUGGUACUUCAUCUAUUGAAGCGCUAAGACACGUUAAGCAACAACCGCGUGUAUCAGAAACAGAAAAAGAGCUUGCGUUACUUACACUUUAAAACCUUGGUUUGACGAACUUCCUAUUGUGGAGCCAGAGGAAAUUAGUUCUAGUCCAGAUGAUGAGGUCACUACCAGGCAGCGUCCUUUGCCUAUCAAUGCGUGAGGCAAGACAUAGAAAGAGAGGUAACAGAAGGCGGCAAUCUGAACAAUGCUCAUCAGAACCGCUUGCCUCGUCCCCUGAUCAUUACCCUCCACAGAGAAAUGCACCAAGAACUUCUGGCGGUGGUGUGUCUGCUUCUUUUCGCUUCAGCAGACUGGAGCUGAUCCGCAGUCCCAAAGUUUCUUCUGGAUCUAGUCCUUGCUGCUGAUUUGUGUUUCGUGUUUUGCUAGUGGACUGAACUGCUGAUAUUGAAGAUUGAAAUCGUCCCCAAAGAACUACUUCCAAACUGUCCACGUCCCCCUUGUCUUAUUAACCAUCUUCCUCCCCUACCUUUGGUCAGGGGGCUAGAAGGGAGGUUGAAGGGUUUAAGAACCCUUAUUAAAGUAAGUUUAAAAAAAAAUACAAACCUACACAUUCUUAACCUUUGUCCCCUUGUGUAACAGUUUCCUCAGAAAGUUAAAAUGUUCUACCCUGCAGGAAGCUCUUUGAACAGGAAGAUAAGCAACUCAAAAUAGCUUCAGGAAGUCCCUGAAAUUUACCAAAUUCACUAGGCCCUUUCCUGCCAGAGUAAGCAAUAAAAGCUAAGGUUCUGCCUCACAGGAAAAAAAUUACAAAGAUUCUAAAACCAGAACAGCUGCCUGAAAAAAGCAGAAACCAGCAGAACUGCUUAAAAAGAGGUUUCUAGGACGUUCUCCAACCUGUUGAGCUGAUUACAGGCUGUGCAGUGAGCUUUAGAGUCCCAGCUUUGCAAGCUGUCACCCAUGCUGGGGUGGGCUUUGACAAUGUAACGGUCUCUGAAUCAUUUCCACUCUCAAUAAAUAACCCCUCAUUCAUAUUCCUGUAAGUAGCCUCAAUAAAACUCACGGUUCACCAAGGUGGGUUCAACAAGGUGUUGUGUAUACUUUCGUCUGCU